UAGGGAAUCUUCGGCAAUGGGGGCAACCCUGACCGAGCAACGCCGCGUGAGUGAAGAAGGUUUUCGGAUCGUAAAGCUCUGUUGUAAGAGAAGAACGUGUGUGAGAGUGGAAAGUUCACACAGUGACGGUAACUUACCAGAAAGGGACGGCUAACUACGUGCCAGCAGCCGCGGUAAUACGUAGGUCCCGAGCGUUGUCCGGAAUUAUUGGGCGUAAAGCGAGCGCAGGCGGUUUAAUAAGUCUGAAGUUAAAGGCAGUGGCUUAACCAUUGUUCGCUUUGGCAACUGUUAAACUUGAGUGCAGAAGGGGAGAGUGGAAUUCCAUGUGUAGCGGUGAAAUGCGUAGAUAUAUGGAGGAACAACGGUGGCGAAAGCGGCUCUCUGGUCUGUAACUGACGAUGAGGCUCGAAAGCGUGGGGAGCAACCAGG
rnacentral:rRNA from 1 species